AUUGAACGCUGGCGGCAGGCCUAACACAUGCAAGUCGAACGAGUGGCGGACGGGUGAGUAAUGUCUGGGAAACUGCCUGAUGGAGGGGGAUAACUACUGGAAACGGUAGCUAAUACCGCAUACCAUCAGAUGUGCCCAGAUGGGAUUAGAUAGUAGGUGGGGUAAUGGCUCACCUAGGCGACGAUACCUAGCUGGUCUGAGAGGAUGACCAUCCACACGGGAACUGAGACACGGUCCAGACUCCUACGGGAGGCAGCAUUGGUGAAUAUUGAACAAUGGGCGCAAGCCUGAUGCAGCCAUGCCGCGGGUAUGAAGAAGGCCUUCGGGUUGUAAAGCACUUUCAGCGAGGAGGCGUUACUCGCAGAAGAAGCACCGGCUAACUCCGUGCCAGCAGCCGCGGUAAUUC
rnacentral:rRNA from 1 species